GCCGGGAUAGUUUAACAAAACACUAGGUCGUGACCCUAAUAAUAGAACCAUGUUCUUCCAGGCC
rnacentral:tRNA from 1 species